rnacentral:rRNA from 1 species
ACUCAAAGGAAUUGACGGGGGCCCGCACAAGCGGUGGAGCAUGUGGUUUAAUUCGAUGCAACGCGAAGAACCUUACCUGGGCUAGACAACGUCAGACAACCUCAGAGAUGAGGUCUCCCCUUCGGGGGCUGGCGGUUUAGGUGCUGCAUGGCUGUCGUCAGCUCGUAUCGUGAGAUGUCGGGUUAAGUCCCUUAACGAGCGCAACCCUUGUCCCUAGUUGCCACCAUUCAGUUGAGCACUCUAGGGAGACUGCCGGUGUUAAACCGGAGGAAGGUGGGGAUGACGUCAAGUCCUCAUGGCCCUUAUGUCCAGGGCUACACACGUGCUACAAUGGCCGGUACAAAGGGAAGCCAACCCGCGAGGGGGAGCUAAUCUCAGAAAGCCGGUCUCAGUUCGGAUUGAAGUCUGCAACUCGACUUCAUGAAGUUGGAAUCGCUAGUAAUCGCGGAUCAGAACGCCGCGGUGAAUACGUUCCCGGGCCUUGUACACACCGCCCGU